GGUUCAGAGCUGCUGAAUAGGCGGCAGUCCAGACUCUCCUCCUCGCCCAUCACACAUGGCUAACUUAUCAGAACAGACACAAUGAAAGCCGCAACGACACUCACCGCGCCUGCAAUCUCUGUCAGGGAUGAGACUUUGAUUCACAGACGCUUACAGCACAUUUGAUCCACACUAGUGAAAUGGAGUGGAACAGCAGAGAUCUGCACAACAGCCAAAUAUAAGAUGAGAGCAGCGAACACCUACCACCUCCUCCACAGAGACAUUUUUAACAUUUAUCCUGCAGUCAGCAGGAACAGGUUGUUCCAGUGCAGGCCCGGUAAGAUGCAUGACAUGGAGGCUGAUGAAAGCAUGCGAGAUUCUUCUUCGCCCACAAUAAAUGGGGAAACUGGAUGACUUCCAACUUUUCUUCUGUCAGACCACCCACUUAGACCGACAUAAAAAGAACAUGCACAGUACAGUUAGUGUCAUGCACCAGAGGAGGGAUAGCAACAAUUUGAUCCAAAUAAUUCCCCCUGUAUUGACAUAUUAACUUUUUAUACUUUGAUUAGAUUAUAAAGGUUAUAAUCAGCACUGCAAGGAAGACAGUAACAUAUUAUAUUUGCAUUUUUAGGCUUGAAGUCAUUAUUUUAAAUAUUCCAUAUAUACAUAUGAUUCUCACUGUACAACAGCCCAAUGUGUUUUUGAUUAGGCCUGCCAUCAGCACCCGUCAUACAGACAACAGCUUCAAUAUUACUCACACGAAGUCGCUCUCCAAGUCUUUUCUGCACUGGAGUUUCAUUUAGUUUUGACAGCUGGGGCUCAGUGUGUCUGUAAAUGUAUCAUUGUAAAGACACUGUGUUGUGACUGAAGUGGAGAAGAAGAACAAAGAGGCUGGGGCAGGGAUGUUUGUCUCAGCAAUAAUAACUGUGACACUAUGCCAUAUUCACAAUCUCCCACGAUUGGAAUGAUUUGUUUUGAGUGAGUAAUGUCCUCGUUAACUUGUACAUUUUAAAGUUCCUGUGUUUACCAUCUGUAUUCUUCAUGUGAAUGACAAAUCUGGAGUCAGAGGAGAGCCACAGAAAACAAUAACGCUGUAAAAGAAUAAGAAAAUAAAUGUGGAAAUAUAAACAGGAAUAAAUAAUAAAGAAGAAUGAAUAAAAGACUAAUAAAAGCAAAAUAAGAAGUGAAUUAUUUUUUGAUUCUUUUACUUAUUUCUCUUCAUAUUUCCCAUUUUUUUCCAUUUUGUUGUCAUUUUAUUUAUUCCUUUUUAUAUUUCCACGUUUCUUGUCAUUUUACAGAUUUAUUCUUUUUCAAAACAACUAGAAACAUACAAGGUAGUUUUGAGCGGAAAAAGCAUUUAAAAAAAAAGUGUAUAUAUAUAUAUGUGUGUGUGUGUGUGUUAUUUUUGUAGCCCUGACUGUAACUUACUUAUAAUUACACUGUACUCGCCAAACCACAGCUGUAACCAGAACUUUCAGAAUAUUGUGGUUAUCAGUCCAAGUCCUCCCAAGCACCCCCCCCCCCCGACUGUUUUAAAGCGUUCUACAACCCUAAUCCUAAAAAACCAUCAAGAAUAAAAUUUACUAUUAAUUUUUGUUGUCCUUAAAAAUCUUUAAAAAAAAAACUUAGACAUAUUGAGCCUGAAAUUGAUGUAAAAACAGCCACCAUAGUUUUUAAAUUGUUGAAUCAAACUCCCUAGGUUGACAAUUUCCUGACAAAUAUAGAGGACAUGACCUCAGUGUUUUCAGUGGAAUUUGCAAGUAAAAGGUUUUCCAAUGGCCACAGCUAUGAAAGUUAAACCUAAGUUGUAAUAAACGUUGUUAAAUACUUCAAAUUUCUAUGUAUCAUAAUGUUUGUAAAUGUGUUUUACAACCUCUGUAGUGAAAACAUGUCCAGGCUGCUGCUGGCAUCCAUUCUUCAGAUCCUGCAGUGACUCUUCCAUUGGUGCAAUGUACGAGAUGUAACAUUCACCAUGUGACUCUUUAUCAGUGGUUCAUCCACUGAGAAUGAAGGCACCUGGCAAAUGUGAUUUGGUUGCACUGUGUUUUUCCAACAUUGCAAGCAUCUGGGUGAUGCUUGCAAUGCACCAUAACUAUGAAACCAGUGUGAAAAGGUCCAUGGGAGAAAGAGCUGCUACUUUUAACCAAAAGCUGCACUCGGAAAAAUAUUCAUUCAAAUCUGUCUUUUCAGUCCAAAUCAUAAGUGAAUACUGAGAACAGCAUCCUCACUAUGAGACACUGGAUAAUAAACUGACUGAAUACAAUUCUGCUGUUGUCCUGGUCAUUGGACAGAAAACUUCAUACAGGAAAUGAAAAAAGUUAAAGCCACUAUGUGUAAAGUUCUUAUAUGAUUAUUAAAAUGAUCUUGAGGACAUUAUUAGUAGAAAUGAUUAGAAAGUAGAAAUUGCCUGCAGUGUAUACUUGCUUUAUGCCCAUUUAUCACAUUGUAGUUUUUCAUUUUACCAUUAGGAGGCAACAUAGUUUGAUACAUUUAAUUCCUACAUAUAGGUGCUUUAACUUGAAAUUCAAAGCCAAUUCAUCACAAGUCAAAUAACUCUUGUGCAAAGCAAAUAAAAUCAUUUUUGAAUCCUUCUAUUUUUGGAUUUGACAAACUGAAUUUGUGGACUGGGAUAAAACACAUGCAGCCACUGAAAGAAAAUAAAGCUCAUCCAGAAAUCGCUUAACUCAUCUGUACAUCAUACAGAAUAUUUAUUGUAUGUCCUCAAAAUACACAGGAAACCAUUAGACAGAACACAGGGCAAAGAAAACCCUUCAAGGUCAUUUGGAAAGGACGACCACAGUUGGCCGUUCUGAACUUCACUUUAUCAGACGGCAGAGGUUUCCUCUGUUACAAAUCAAACAAAGGCUUUCUCCUUGGAAAACUAAUGCUGAGCUUUGACUUAACUCAAAACUUCCACAAAAUAAAAAAAAAAAAAAAAAAGAUGUUUUUCUUUUUCUUACACCCGUAACAGUACCUGUCAGACAAAAUGAUCACUUUUCAUUGGCUCUUUCUUUUCCCCAUUGGAUUUACCCAAAACAUGUCAUCACACAUCUGAGAGAUGCAGGAGCUGUUUCUUUACUCGUCUGACAUCAUGGAGAGAGGCGCUUCUCCGUCUCCUCCUUUAGGGCUUGGGUCUGUUCCACAAAUCCAUUUCCCUUGAUGGCAAAGAGAAGAUUUCAUUUAAAUCAUAUUCUAUAGACAAUCAUUAGUAGUAUCCUAAACCAAGUGAAUCUAUUAACUAUGCUUUUGGCAUGUUCCAUUGGCCCUGCAGCAGAAAACCAGCCAACACAACAAAGCUUUGUUUAGGUUGCAGCCAAUGAGCAGAUCAGCACAGAAUUCAUUCUCAGGAGAACUUUCACCUCAUUGAUUUGUGCUCAGACACUCUUGUCUUACUCCAUACAGUGUCAAAGUAUGGGAAUAAAAAACUGCCACAUGCAAGUCGUGUUGAAAAGAAAUUCUGUAAUAGAAACACAAUAUAUUAUUUGGCCAGGUGGGCAUUUAAAGACACUGUUCUGUUUCUUUGUUUGUAGAAAAAUCACAGUUGGUCAGAUCCAAGAGGCUGAGGUGUACGACCACUUUUCUACAUGUAGAGGCUUUAAUAGAAACAGAAGAAUGACUCAACAAAGUGCCGGUCAGAUCGUCUAAUGAUGUACAUCACGUCUUUUUAAAUUAGGGAAAUGUAGAAUCUGUGUCCAACAAUUUUUGUAAUGUUUGGAAACAGAUGAUUUUUUUAAAAAUUGGUCAGUGGUGUGGAGGUGCAGAGGUCGGCUACAUUUGUGUACAGCCAAAGUUUAAUCUUGUAGCCAAUGUUUUGAUCUUUGUGGAUCCCAUCUUUACUCUUCGCUGUAGUUCUCCAACAAGCUUCUUAGAACUCAACCACAAUUUCUGUCUCCAAAGAUGGGGCCACAACCGGAUCGGGUUAAAGCCCUUUUCCAGUCCAAGCUCUACUUUUACUUUGAAAAUACAGGACUAAUUGCUGUUAUCUGAACUAUUCCCCUCCAUUGCUGAAAACAUUUUUUUGCAUAAUGUAAAUUGCUGACUUAAAAUGAGCUUUUGCUAAAACAAAAUCAAUUUUCACAAAUGUAUAAUGUUUUUUAUGAAGAGUCACCUUCACGACUGCUGUGGCAGUUUUUUGUUCCUAUUUGAAUAUUGAAUUUAUUCAGUCUGAUAUUUGAUUUUAAUUCAAGUUAGUGACAUACUGAACGUUGUAGUGAUGUCACAGAAUCAAAGAUACGCCUGUUGUGAAGUGCUUUAACAAAGUCUCUUCUGCUGAGUUCUCCUUUUUAGCCAUUUCAAAUACACACACACACACACACACACACACACACACACACACACACACACACACACACACACACACACACACACACACACACACACCUGCAAAUUAAA